rnacentral:lncRNA from 1 species
UAGAGAUGGCCAAAUGUUGUGUAUAAAUACCAAUGCAUGUUCAAUGAAAAUGGAAAGCAUCACAUCACAAGUAGUAGUAACUUAUAAUUCAGUCUGAAAACUCAAAAUCAUGUCGAAGGGCUCAUCAUCAUCAUCAUCAUCAACAACAAAAGUCGUCAUCUCUUUCGCAUUAGCUCUUCUCCUUAUGUUAGGUACGUUGCACACCAAAAUAACUGGUUAUAAUUGAAAGAAUAACGUUGAAAGAUGGUUUAGUUUUGAUUAUUUUGAUGAACGUUGCAGGAAACAAGGAGGCUGUUAUGGAGGUAGAAGCAGGGGACGACGACCUUUGCUUAAGAGGACCAGUAACAAUGUAUAACUUUUGUUUGGACGAAGGCGUAUGUACUGAUGCUUGCAUCGGAAAGUAUGGAAAGGAUAUCGUCGGCAAGUGUGAAACUCCCACUAACUGUUUUUGCUACGAACACUGUCCCAACUGAAUGCAAACCUAAUCAAUCGUGUUCUUCUACCAGCUCAUGUAUUUCUAUUCAAUAAACUAGAAAUAGAUCGUACUUUGCCUUGAGAAAUGAUAUAGGCAAUUCAUAUUGUUGAGAGAGAGAUCGGGAAAAAAGCUUUUAUUGUUUGUCGUAAGAAGUUAUAUGUAUGCACUAGUUAGGAAGUAACUGUUUUGCACAUCACAUACAUAUGGAGUGGAGAUCAUGUCAACUUGAUUUAAUGUGUCAAUCGCUAACAAACGGGCUCAUGAAUACAAUUUUGCUUCACCUUAAUUGGAAAUCUAGAGGCUCACAGUAAAAGUAGAAAAAAAGAUGCAAAGGUAAAUCUACUUGGAGGGGGAUUCCUACCUCCGUGAUGCAUUAUAGAUGCAAUAGUAAAAUCCUCACUACUCUCGUAUAUCAAAUGCUAAUUAACAAACAAGCUUAUAAAAGGUGAAAGAUGUAUACUUUUACUCUUACCUCGAUUAGAGAUCUAAAGCUCACGAUAAAAAUAAAAACGAAAUGCAAGUGAUUUUAGCUAGUUGGAGGAGAUCCCUAUUCGUUCAUACACCAUCGUCUCUUCCAUCCGUAAGAGUAGCUAACACAACAUUAUUACAUCCUUGUGUUCGUGUUCUUGCUUCAUAGCAAUAUAAUGUAUUGUACGCAUGCCUGCAUGGAUUGGUGGGAGUCUCCAAAUUUAUUCCACCAUCAUUUAAAGAACAGAGCAAUCACCUUUCGUGCAUGGUACAAAGGUGCAGACAGAUGUAAUCUGGUCAUAAAUGGCGUAUCUGGAGAAAUUUGUUAAUUUGGAAAGUGAUUAAUUACGCGGAGACGCAUGCAUGCAAACACGGGUAGAGUUACACAUGUAAACAAAACCAAACCAAAAAAAUAUUGUGUAUAUAUUGUGAAAUGGAAAGCAUCAUACCACAGCUAGUAACUUGAUUCAAUCUGAAAACUCAGAAACUCAAAAUCAUGUCAUCAUCAUCACCAUCAACAAAAGUUGUCAUCUCUGUUGCAUUAGUUUUUCUGCUCGUCUUUGGUAUGUACUCCGACUUGCACACCAAAUAUAUACAACUGGUUAUGAUGUUGAAAGCUAGCUUGAUUGUGAUUUUUGCGACGAAUGUUGCAGGAAACAAGGAGGUGGUUAUGGAGGCAGAAGGAGGGGACGAUGACUACUGCUUAAGAGGACCAGCAACAAUAUACGACUUUUGUUUGGAUCCGAAAGGAAUAUGUACCGAUGCUUGCAUCCGAAAGUAUGGAAAGACUUGCACCGGCAGGUGUGAAAGUCCUACCAACUGUUUUUGCUAUGAUGUCUGUAUCUAGUGCUUUCAAAACUAAUCAAUCAUAUCUAUCUUCUUCUACCACAUAUCUUCUGCAAAAAAAAAUUUCAAUCUGAACUCAGAUCGCAAACCCACGAUAAGAAACAUUCAUGAAGCAAGCCGCUCUAGUGCCAAGCUAAAUCCCAAGUAAAGACAAGUGUCACGUCGAUAAGAGAAUAAACAAAGAAUUGGCUUAUGCCGAAUAUCUAAA